AUGGUUAAGUUAGAAAGGGCGCACGGUGAAUGCCUUGGCACUAGGAGCCGAUGAAGGACGGGACUAACACCGAUAUGCUUCGGGGAGCUGUAAGUAAGCUUUGAUCCGGAGAUUUCCGAAUGGGGAAACCCACUGUUCGUAAUGGAGCAGUAUCUUUAUCUGAAUACAUAGGAUAUUGAAGGCAGACCCGGGGAACUGAAACAUCUAAGUACCCGGAGGAAGAGAAAGCAAAUGCGAUUUCCUGAGUAGCGGCGAGCGAAACGGAAUUAGCCCAAACCAAGAGGCUUGCCUCUUGGGGUUGUAGGACACUCUAUACGGAGUUACAAAGGAACGAGGUAAAUGAAGAGGUCUGGAAAGGCCCGUCAAAGAAGGUAACAACCCUGUAGUUGAAACUUCGUUCCCUCUUGAGUGGAUCCUGAGUACGGCGGAACACGUGAAAUUCCGUCGGAAGCUGGGAGGACCAUCUCCCAAGGCUAAAUACUCCCUAGUGACCGAUAGUGAACCAGUACCGUGAGGGAAAGGUGAAAAGCACCCCGGAAGGGGAGUGAAAGAGAACCUGAAACCGUGUGCCUACAAGUAGUCAGAGCCCGUUAAUGGGUGAUGGCGUGCCUUUUGUAGAAUGAACCGGCGAGUUACGAUCCCAUGCAAGGUUAAGUUGAAGAGACGGAGCCGUAGCGAAAGCGAGUCUGAAUAGGGCGUUUAGUAUGUGGUUGUAGACCCGAAACCAGGUGAUCUACCCAUGUCCAGGGUGAAGUUCAGGUAACACUGAAUGGAGGCCCGAACCCACGCACGUUGAAAAGUGCGGGGAUGAGGUGUGGGUAGCGGAGAAAUUCCAAUCGAACCUGGAGAUAGCUGGUUCUCUCCGAAAUAGCUUUAGGGCUAGCCUCACGUUGUGAGAGUCUUGGAGGUAGAGCACUGAUUGGACUAGGGGCCCCCAACGGGUUACCGAAUUCAGUCAAACUCCGAAUGCCAAAGACUUAUCCGUGGGAGUCAGACUGCGAGUGAUAAGAUCCGUAGUCAAAAGGGAAACAGCCCAGACCACCAGCUAAGGUCCCCAAGUAUACGUUAAGUGGAAAAGGAUGUGGAGUUGCUUAGACAACCAGGAUGUUGGCUUAGAAGCAGCCACCAUUUAAAGAGUGCGUAAUAGCUCACUGGUCGAGUGACUCUGCGCCGAAAAUGUACCGGGGCUAAACGUAUCACCGAAGCUGUGGAUUGACAUCUUAGAUGUCAGUGGUAGGAGAGCGUUCUAAGUGCUGCGAAGCUAGACCGUAAGGACUGGUGGAGCGCUUAGAAGUGAGAAUGCCGGUAUGAGUAGCGAAAGACAAGUGAGAAUCUUGUCCACCGAAUGCCUAAGGUUUCCUGAGGAAGGC
rnacentral:rRNA from 1 species